rnacentral:rRNA from 1 species
CAGUCGCCGCGGUAAUACGUAGGGUGCGAGCGUUAAUCGGAAUUACUGGGCGUAAAGCGUGCGCAGGCGGUUAUAUAAGACAGAUGUGAAAUCCCCGGGCUCAACCUGGGACCUGCAUUUGUGACUGUAUAGCUAGAGUACGGUAGAGGGGGAUGGAAUUCCGCGUGUAGCAGUGAAAUGCGUAGAUAUGCGGAGGAACACCGAUGGCGAAGGCAAUCCCCUGGACCUGUACUGACGCUCAUGCACGAAAGCGUGGGGAGCAAACAGGAUUAGAUCCCCCGUAGUCCCUGUCUCUUAUACA